UGGGGAAUAUUGGACAAUGGGCGCAAGCCUGAUCCAGCCAUGCCGCGUGAGUGAUGAAGGCCUUAGGGUUGUAAAGCUCUUUCAGUGGGGAAGAUAAUGACGGUACCCACAGAAGAAGCCCCGGCUAACUUCGUGCCAGCAGCCGCGGUAAUACGAAGGGGGCUAGCGUUGUUCGGAUUUACUGGGCGUAAAGCGCACGUAGGCGGAUUGGUCAGUUAGGGGUGAAAUCCUGGAGCUCAACUCCAGAACUGCCUUUAAUACUGCCAGUCUCGAGUCCGGAAGAGGUAAGUGGAACUCCUAGUGUAGAGGUGGAAUUCGUAGAUAUUAGGAAGAACACCAGUGGCGAAGGCGGCUUACUGGUCCGGUACUGACGCUGAGGUGCGAAAGCGUGGGGAGCAAACA
rnacentral:rRNA from 1 species